rnacentral:rRNA from 1 species
UACGUAGGGUGCAAGCGUUGUCCGGAAUUAUUGGGCGUAAAGGGCUCGUAGGCGGUCCGUCACGUCGGGAGUGAAAUCCUGGGGCUUAACCCCAGAACUGCUUCCGAUACGGGCAGACUAGAGGUAGGUAGGGGAGAAUGGAAUUCCUGGUGUAGCGGUGGAAUGCGCAGAUAUCAGGAGGAACACCAAUAGCGAAGGCAGCUCGCUGGGACGUUACUGACACUAAGGCGCGAAAGCGUGGGGAGCGAACAGG